rnacentral:rRNA from 1 species
AGAGUUUGAUCCUGGCUCAGGACGAACGUUGGCGGCGUGCCUAACCAUGCAAGUCGGACGGGGAUUUUGUUUCGGCAGAAUCCUAGUGGCGAACGGUGAGUAAUGCGUAGGGAAGUUGCCGGCCCGAUUGGGACCACACCGCGGAAGGGGUGCUAAUACCGGAUACCAAGAUAGCACCGCAUGGUGUUAUUUUGAAAGAUGGCCUGUAUUUAUAAGCUAUCGCCCGGGGAUGGGCCUGCGUCCGAUUAGCUGGUUGGUGGGGUAACGGCCUACCAAGGCGACGAUCGGUAGCCGGUCUGAGAGGAUGAACGGCCACCGUGGGACUGAGACACGGCCCAGACUGCUACGGGAGGCAGCAGUGGGGAAUCGUCCGCCAUGGGCGAAAGCCUGACGGAGCCACGCCGCGUGGGUGAGGAAGUUCUUCCGAACGUAAAGCGCUGUUGUACAUGACGAACGUGCUGUCUAUCCACCACGGGAAGCCAUGACCGUAGUGUACGAGGAAGCCAGGGCUAACUACCGUGCCAGCAGCCGCCGUAAUACGUACGUGGCCAGCCGUGUCCGGAAUUAUUGGGCGUAAAGCGCAUGUAGGCCGUGCCGUAAGUCUGUCGUGAAACUGCCGGGCCUGAACUCGUAUGGCGAUGGAAACUGUGGCACUGUGAGUGCAGAGAGGAAAGGGGAAACUGCUCAGUGUACCGGUGAAAUGCCGUAUAUGURGRARRAMWMSCGKKGSSSAAGSSSCSUKUCUGGACURUGUCUGACGCUGARWKSGGAAAGCCRAGGUAGCGAACGAGAUUAGAUAYCSCGCUAGUCCUGSSCGGUAAACGAUGRGUACUAGGUGUGAGGAGUAUCGACYCCUUCCGUGCCCGAGUUAACGCAAUAAGUACCCCCGCCUGGAGAGUACGGCGGCAAGGCUUAAACUCAAAGGGAAUUGACGGAGGCCGGCACAACCGAUGACGUAUGUAGUUUAAUUGGACGCAACGCGAAGAACCUUACCAGAGCUUGACAUCGAUUGCAAGGUGUAGAGAUACACCCCUCUCUUCGGAGACAAGAAGACAGGUGGUGCAUAGCUGUCGUCAGCUCGUGUCGUGAGAUGUUGGGUUAAGUCCCGCAACGAGCGCAACCCCUAUCCCAUGUUACCAUCAUUGAGUUGGAGACUCACCGCGAGACUGCCAGGGACAACCUGGAGGAAGGCGGAGAUGACGUCAAGUCAUCAUGCCCCUUAUGUCCUGAGCUACACACGUACUACAAUAGCCGGCAACAGAGGGAAGCGAAGCCGCGAGGCGGAGCGAACCCCAUAAACCCGGUCCCAGUUCGGAUCGCAGGCUGCAACCCGCCUGCGUGAAGUCGAAAUCGCUAGUAAUCGCAGGUCAGCAUACUGCCGGUGAAUACGUUCCCGAGCCUUGUACACACCGCCCGUCACACCACGAAAGUUGGUAACACCCGAAGCCGGUGGGGUAACCGCAAGGAGCCAGCCGUCUAAGGUGGGGCCGAUGAUGGGGGUGAAGUCGUAACAAGGUAGCCGUA